CCUACGGGAGGCAGCAGUGGGGAAUAUUGCGCAAUGGGCGAAAGCCUGACGCAGCGACGCCGCGUGAGGGAUGAAGGUCUUCGGAUCGUAAACCUCUGUCAGCAGGGAAGAACGGUCACUGUGCUAAUCAGCAGUGAAUUGACGGUACCUGCAAAGGAAGCACCGGCUAACUCCGUGCCAGCAGCCGCGAUAAUACGGAGGGUGCGAGCGUUAAUCGGAAUUACUGGGCGUAAAGCGCUCGUAGGCGGUAUGUCAAGUCAAGGGUGAAAUCCCCGCGCUCAACGUGGGAACUGCCUUGGAAACUGGCAAACUGGAGUGUGUGAGAGGAUAGUGGAAUUCCAGGUGUAGGAGUGAAAUGCGUAGAUAUCUGGAGGAACAUCAGUGGCGAAGGCGACUAUCUGGCACAUAACUGACGCUGAGGAGCGAAAGCGUGGGUAGCAAACAGGAUUAGAUACCCGGGUAGUC
rnacentral:rRNA from 1 species